AUGGCCGCGCCCGCCCUCCUUUCCCUCUCCCCCGCCGUAUCCAGGCACCCCCACCCCCUCUUCUCCCACACCCACUCGCCUCGCCACCUCCGCCUCACCCCUCNNNNCGCCUCUUCCUCCCCCUCCCCCUCCCCCUCGCCGGCCGGCGGCGGCGGCGGCGUCUUCCUCUCGCCGAGCGCGCUCUCGCAGCUCGACGCGCUCGCCGCUUUCCGCUACGAGCACUCCUUCCCCCACGGCAGCCUCACCGUGCGGGCCCUCACCCCGGCCGACGACGCCGAGGCCGACGUGCUCGUCCGCCUCCUCGCCUCCUCCUUCUCCGAGGACGUCAGGUGGGCCCCCGCGCAGCGCUACGCCCAGCUCCUCGCCUUCGUCAUCCGCCGCUACCUCUACGAGCGCCGCGGCCUCGCGCCCCACGCUGCCGUUCUGGUGGGUUUCUACAAGCCCGCCGCCGCGGAAGAAGGGGAGGAGGGCGAAGACGACGGGGAUGAGGGGGAGAUGGCGUGCACCGCCGAGGUGUCGCUGGACGCGGUGGGCGCCCCCGGGGCACCGCCCACGCCCACACCGCCGCUCGAGUUCCCUUACAUCUGCAACAUGACCGUGAAGACCUCGUUGAGGAGGAGAGGAAUUGGAAAACAACUUCUUAAGGCAUGUGAGGAUCUGGUUGUCAAGAUGGAUGCAAAAACGCGUGUAUAUCUUCAUUGUAGAAUAAUUGAUGAAGUGCCGUUCAACAUGUACAUAAAAGCAGGAUACGACAUUGUUCAGACUGACAGUAUCCUUGUUUGGCUGAGCCUCCAGAAGCGCAAGCACUUGAUGCGCAAGGAAUUACCCCAAGUUUCUGUUGGUAGUGAUGUACAACCUUAG
rnacentral:rRNA from 1 species